rnacentral:rRNA from 1 species
CCUACGGGAGGCAGCAGUAGGGAAUAUUGCUCAAUGGGGGAAACCCUGAAGCAGCAACGCCGCGUGGAGGAUGAAGGUUUUCGGAUUGUAAACUCCUUUUGUUAGAGAAGAUAAUGACGGUAUCUAACGAAUAAGCACCGGCUAACUCCGUGCCAGCAGCCGCGGUAAUACGGAGGAUGCAAGCGUUACGCGGAAUCACUGGGCGUAAAGCGCGCGUAGGCGGGAUAGCAAGUCAGAUGUGAAAUCCUAUGGCUUAACCAUAGAACUGCAUUUGAAACUGUUAUUCUAGAGUAUGGGAGAGGUAGGUGGAAUUCGUGGUGUAGGGGUAAAAUCCGUAGAGAUCAAGAGGAAUACUCAUUGCGAAGGCGACCUGCUAGAACAUAACUGACGCUGAUGCGCGAAAGCGUGGGGAGCAAACAGGAUUAGAUACCCCAGUAGUC